rnacentral:rRNA from 1 species
GAUGAACGCUGGCGGCGUGCCUAAUACAUGCCAGUCGAGCGAACAGACGAGGAGCUUGCUCCUUUGACGUUAGCGGCGGACGGGUGAGUAACACGUAGGUAACCUACCUAUAAGACUGGGAUAACUUCGGGAAACCGGAGCUAAUACCGGAUAAUAUUUCGAACCGCAUGGUUCGAUAGUGAAAGAUGGCUUUGCUAUCACUUAUAGAUGGACCUGCGCCGUAUUAGCUAGUUGGUAAGGUAACGGCUUACCAAGGCAACGAUACGUAGCCGACCUGAGAGGGUGAUCGGCCACACUGGAACUGAGACACGGUCCAGACUCCUACGGGAGGCAGCAGUAGGGAAUCUUCCGCAAUGGGCGAAAGCCUGACGGAGCAACGCCGCGUGAGUGAUGAAGGUCUUCGGAUCGUAAAACUCUGCUAUUAGGGAAGAACAAACGUGUAAGUAACUGUGCACGUCUUGACGGUACCUAAUCAGAAAGCCACGGCUAACUACGUG